AUUGAACGCUGGCGGCAGGCCUAACACAUGCAAGUCGAGCGUGAAAGUCCUUCGGGAUGAGUAAAGCGGCGGACGGGUGAGUAACGCGUAGGAAUCUACCUAGUAGUGGGGGAUAACGUUUCGAAAGGAACGCUAAUACCGCAUACGUUCUGAGGAAGAAAGCAGGGGAUCGCAAGACCUUGCGCUAUUAGAUGAGCCUGCGUCCGAUUAGCUAGUUGGUGGGGUAAAGGCCUACCAAGGCGACGAUCGGUAACUGGUCUGAGAGGAUGAUCAGUCACACUGGAACUGAGACACGGUCCAGACUCCUACGGGAGGCAGCAGUGGGGAAUAUUGGACAAUGGGGGCAACCCUGAUCCAGCCAUGCCGCGUGUGUGAAGAAGGCCUUCGGGUUGUAAAGCACUUUAAGCGGGGAGGGAGGCUCUAUGGCUAAUAUCCAUGGGGAUUGACGUUACCCGCAGAAUAAGCACCGGCAAACUUCGUGCCAGCCGCCGCGGUAAAAC
rnacentral:rRNA from 1 species